GGGGACGCUCCCGACGAGCCAAGGGCCACUUCGCGGAGGUUCCCGGCGCCCGGGUCGGCAUUUUCUAGCUGUUGUGCCUUGCAGGGGCCCUGGGGGGUAGAAACAGAGCUUGGCCCCAGGUCCAGGGUUCCAGAGGGAGCCCCGCGUCUGUUUACCUGCGGGGCGUCCAGCCCAGCCCUUCCCUCUUGGGCCUCGGGUCCCCCCCAUCAGCGAAGGCGGCGCCCUGGAUGAAAAAAUGACGCACAGAGAAACCAGACAACUCAAGCGCCUUGUCCAGGAGGGCCAGCGCCUGUGCCAUCCUGCUGCUAGGGACACGCACCCUCACAAUGACGGCAAGGGGACGACAAUGGUGGUAACUCACUCAUCGCUUGUAUCAUCACACUCUGGGCUAAUGUUCUGAGAACUAAUUCACAGUGUCUUAAGGUUUCGACAUUGGAUUCCUCCUGCCAGGGCACCUGGAGGCAUCGUGGAGAUUUUCUAGUUCAGUGGAUCUCACUUUAGAACCACCCAGGAAGUUCUUAAAAGUUGCUGAUGCCCGGACCCCACCCAGCAGAGAUUCUGGGAAAAUUGGUUUAGGAUGAGGCUUGAAAAAAAUCUCCCCAGGAGACGCCAACAUGAAGCUGGGCUUGAGGACCAUCCACCCUGGCCUGGCCAGUGAGUGAUUUGCUUCAGGUGCCCUGAAAACCUGAAUUGGUGUGAGUCUGACUCCUUGCAGUUCGGGUUCUUACCACAAAAUGAUGGAUUUGGCAUCCAUCUGAAUUGAAUGCAAAAUUCUUAGAGAACAAGCCGACUCUUACUUCAUCCAAAGGGAAUCUGGUUCACUUCGAAUAAAGUGCCAGAAGAACUUCUUCCUCAGACUGUUGGUGUGUUUUGUGCCUGAAACUGCAGUGGCCAGCCCAGUUUGUGGAAUCCCUAUAAAAAGAGCUCCCUUUCCUGAGCGCCCAGUGGAGGGCAGGGACCUCACAUGCAGUUUUGUUCCAUCCCCAGGACACUCUAGCAAGGUGGACU